rnacentral:rRNA from 1 species
CCCUUAGAUGUUCUGGGCCGCACGCGCGCUACACUGAUGAAUUCAACGAGCUCCUAACCUAGGCCGAAGGGUCCGGGUAAUCUUUGAAAUUUCAUCGUGAUGGGGAUAGAUUAUUGCAAUUAUUAAUCUUCAACGAGGAAUUCCUAGUAAGCGCGAGUCAUCAGCUCGCGUUGAUUACGUCCCUGCCCUUUGUACACACCGCCCGUCGCUCCUACCGAUUGAAUGGUCCGGUGAAAUGUUCGGAUCGCGGCAAAUCGGACGGGUAACCGUCAGGUUCGCUGCGAGAAGUUGAUUAAACCUUACCAUUUAGAGGAAGGUGAAGUCGUAACA